rnacentral:RNase_P_RNA from 1 species
CAGGCUGGUCGGGCAAUCGCGGUCCUGCGUUGACGGGAUCGAGGAAAGUCCGCACUCCUAUAGAGCACGGCGUCGGAGAGUACCCCGGGGCGGGGAAGCCGCCGAGAGGCGUGAACCUGCCGGAAUGGGCCACAGAAACAGUCAGCGACCCCCACCCGUCCUCUCCCAAAUUCCUUCGGAAUUUGGGAGAGGCGCCCCGCAAGGGGCGGAGGGGGCGUGAUGGUGAAAAGGUGGUGUAAGAGACCACCGGCGCAUGUAGUAAUACAUGCGGCCAGGCAACCCCCGCCGGGAGCAAGGCCAAGCAGGGACGAUUUCGUCUGUGGACGAUGGGAGGCUGCUCGUCUCCUUACGCGCCCUUCCCUCCUGUGGGUUGGGUCGGAGCGGCGACGCUCCGCCCAGAGAGAUGAUUGCCCAGGUGGAAACACCGGACAGAAUGCGGCUUAUAGACCAGCCUGGAGC